UUACCCGCUGAACUUAAGCAUAUCAAUAAGCGGAGGAAAAGAAACUAACAAGGAUUCCCCUAGUAACGGCGAGUGAAGCGGGAAGAGCUCAAAUUUGUAAUCUGGCGUCUUCGGCGUCCGAGUUGUAAUCUCGAGAAGUAUUUUCCGCGCUGGACCGCACAUAAGUCUGUUGGAAUACAGCGUCAUAGUGGUGAAAACCCCGUAUAUGGUGCGGAUGCCCAGUGCUUUGUGAUAUACUUUCGAAGAGUCGAGUUGUUUGGGAAUGCAGCUCAAAUUGGGUGGUAAAUUCCAUCUAAAGCUAAAUAUUGGCGAGAGACCGAUAGCGAACAAGUACCGUGAGGGAAAGAUGAAAAGCACUUUGGAAAGAGAGUUAACAGUACGUGAAAUUGUUGGAAGGGAAACGCUUGAAGUCAGACUUGCAUUUUGGAGUUCAGCCGCAAGGUGUAUUCUUCAAUUCGCAGGCCAGCAUCAGUUUUCGGGGGUGGAAAAGCGCGGUUUGAAGGUAGCAGUCUCGGCUGUGUUAUAGCUUUCCGCUGGAUUCACUUUUGGGGACUGAGGAAUGCAGUACGCUUUUUGCAAGAUUCUAGAGUCUUUCGUACUUAGGAUGCUGGUGGAAUGGCUUUAAACGACCCGUCUUGA
rnacentral:rRNA from 1 species